AGUGCAAAUGGUGAAUGCCUAGGAGCCGGGAGGCGAAGAAGGACGUGGUAAGCUGCGAAAAGCUGCGGGUAACUGCAAACAAGUACCGAUCCGCAGAUGUCCGAAUGGAGCAAUCCGGCAGUAGUAAUGUGCUGUCAUUUCUGGAUGAAUGAAUAGUCCAGAGAAGCGAAACGGGGUGAAGUGAAACAUCUCAGUAACCCCAGGAAAAGAAAAUGACAAUGAUUCCGUAAGUAGUGGCGAGCGAAAGCGGAAGAGCCCAAACCGGGAGGAUUUAUUCUCCCGGGGUAGAGGGACCACCAAUAAGUUAGAUGAAAGGCGAGCUGAACGUUUUGGAAAGAACGGCCACAGGGUGUGAAAGCCACGUAAGCGAAGUGUGUAAGUCCAGAGGUGGAAUCCCAAGUAAUGCGGUGUAAGUGGAACUCUGCAUGAAUCCGUCCCGACCAUGGGAUAAGGCUAAAUACUACCCGGCUACCGAUAGUGAACAAGUACCGUGAGGGAAAGGUGAAAAGAACCCCUUUUAGGGGAGUGAAAAGAAUCUGCAACCAUUUGCAUACAAAGUGUGGGAGCGCCAAAAAGGGCGUGACCGCCUGCCUUUUGCAUAAUGAGUCUGCGAGUUAUUAUCAGUAGCAAGCUUAAGGGAUGAGAAUUCCGGAGGCGAAGCGAAAGCGAGUGUGAAUAGCGCGUUAAGUUGCUGGUAAUAGACCCGAAGCGGAGGUGAUCUACAUUUGAGCAGGUUGAAGCUGUGGUAACACACAGUGGAGGACCGAACUGGUGAACGUUGAAAAGUUCUGAGAUGACUUGAGUGUAGGAGCGAAAGACUAAUCAAACCCCGUGAUAGCUGGUUCUCUCCGAAAUCGCUUGAGGGCGAGUGUUGAAUAAGUACUCCAUGGAGGUAGAGCACUGGAUGGCUUAGGGGCCUUACCGGGCUGCCAAAACCAAUCAAACUCCGAAUACCAUGGAUCCCAUUAGUUCAGCAGUUAGGCAGUGGGGGAUAAGCUUCAUUGCCGAGAGGAAAACAGUCCAGACCGUCAGCUAAGGUGCCCAAACAAGGUUAAGUGGAAAGGAUGUGACGUCGCGAAGACAGUGAGGAUGUUGGCUUAGAGGCAGCCAUCAUUUAAACAGUGCGUAACAGCUGACUCAUCGAGCGAUGCCGCGCCGAAAAUGAUUGGCGAUUAAACCUUGUACCGAAGCUACGGAUUCUCAAAGACUAAGGUCUUUGGGAGUGGUAGGAGAGCGUAGUUGCAGCAUAGAAGCCGAGGGGAAACCUGAGGUGGAGCGGCAACUAGUGAGAAUGCAGACACGAGUAGCGAAAAAUCAGAUGAGAAUUCUGAUCGCCGUAAACCUAAGGUUUCCUGGGGCAGGUUCGUCCUCCCAGGCUUAGCCGGGAGCUAAGGCCAGGCCGUAAGGCGUAGCCGAUGCACAGAAGGUCAAUAAUCCUUCGCCGGGCUGGGGUUAGGUUAAGAUGACGCAAGAACGGGAAAACGGGUUAAGUGAACGGAUUCACAGUGCGGUGUAAAAACCGUGCGAUCCCGCAGACCCCUUGCCGAGAAAAGUCUUAACUGUGCUCCCCAGUUCGCCCGUACCGUAAACCGACACAGGUGGGUGAGAUGAGUAUUCUAAGGCGCGCGAGAGAAACCUCUCUAAGGAACUAGGCAAAAUAGCCCCGUAACUUCGGGAGAAGGGGUGCCCUCCGCAAGGAGGGCGACAGUAAAUGGAGCUUUGCGACUGUUUAACAAAAGCACAGCGCUCUGCUAAGUUGAUAAAACAACGUAUAGGGCGUGACACGUGACCAAUGCGAAAAGAUGAAGGCAACUUGUUAGGUGGUUUAGUAAUAGACCGCCGAAGCUCGGACCCCAAGUCCUCGUGAAUGUCGGCCGUAACUAUAACGGUCCUAAGGUAGCGAAAUUCCUUGUCGGGUAAGUUCCGACCUGCACGAAUCGUGUAACGACAAAGCUGCUGUCUCGGAGAGGAUCUCGGCGAAACUGUAGUGGCGGUGAAGAUGCCGCCUGCCCGCAGAAGGACGGAAAGACCCUAUGCACCUUUACUGUAAGCUCGUAUUGUGUUCUUUUUAAUGAUGCGUAGUGUAGGUGGGAGACAUGGAAGUGAGAGUUUCGGCGCUCAUGGAGUCAAAAGAUGAAACACCACUCUUGAUUAAAAAGAAUUCUAACCUGGCACUGUGAAGCCAGUCCAGGGACAUUGCGAGCGGGUCAGUUUGACUGGGGCGGUUUCCUCCCAAAGAGUAACGGAGGAGCGCUAAGGUACACUCACCAUGGUUGGCAACCAUGAUUUAGAGCGUAUGGGUAUAAGUGUGCUUAACUGCGAGACAAACAAGUCGAGCAGAUGCGAAAGCAGGCCCAAAUGAUCCGAUAGUAGAAAAUGGAAUUGCUAUCGCUCAUCGGACAAAAGGUACGCUAGGGAUAACAGGCUGAUCGAGUCCAAGAGUUCAUAUCGACGACUCGGUUUGGCACCUCGAUGUCGGCUCGUCACAACCUGGGGCUGAAGAAGGUCCCAAGGGUUCGGCUGUUCGCCGAUUAAAGUGGCACGCGAGCUGGGUUCAGAACGUCG
rnacentral:rRNA from 1 species